ensembl:lncRNA
GACAACGCAUCUCAUUCCUGGCGGCCCACGGUGGGACGCGGUAAUAUGUGCGUGCUCGCUUUCCACUGGCUUUGGAGUACUUUCACAUUAUGCAAACGCUGUCCGGGCUGUGAAUAACACUGUGCGGUGAAUCUGAAUCGUAAUUCUUGUGCUCAUUCUGGGAUUUGGCGUCGGCUUGAGCUUCCAUCCUCGUGGUAGAUCAACUUCAACCUGACACACGUACUGUUCAAUCAACGUCCGCGAUAUGAAAAACCCUCCACGAGCACUUAGAACACCAUGUGAGAAGACACACCGUGGAAAGCACCAUGGGUCACCAUGUGAUCUCCCGUGUGCGCAUAGGCGCCGGCCGAUUCUCUAUCUGCCGUAGCACAUCUGGCUGGUCACUCCGUCGUGUCGUUGUGGUGCGCUGCUCCGGACCGGCGCACAGGAACGUGACAGAAUCCCCACUGACUCCUCGCGUCUCUGCUCUAGUUGCUGUCUGGUGGUUCUGAGAGAAAGCGCCGCAGGUACCGCCGCCCGCUGGCAGCUCUCGUCACAUGACAGUGGGGCAGACCGUGUGUCGCUGAUUGGAUAGAACGCUAGUUUAAAUUGAGCAAAAGGAGAACAAAGCACAACGUGUUGUGUUGUGGUUGUUAUUUUUCUGACGCGUUCAAAGCAUCUGGUGGGGUUGUUUAAAGGUUGCAUCAGAUGCACUUAACUCGACCAGGGAAGGUAGAAACUCAAUUGUGUUGCUGUUUUUCAUAAGGACAGCCUGUGCAAUUGCUUGAAAAAGCCUUUGUCUUUUGCUGUGUGAAUAUCUUAUCUGUGCAUUCAACACCAUUUGAUUUCUUUGUGAUAUACCGUUGUAUGGUUGUUUUGGUGGUCAGGCAUCUCUUCUUGCUUCACACUUUGUUUGACUAUUGCAUUUUUCACACACUUUAGAGAGAUCCAGGUGAGUCUAUUCAACAUGACCACGCUGCAGUCUAAAGCGUUUGCAUUUACGCUGAGCACGCAGCUUCCACAGAUUGUCCACCCC